UCCGUAGGAAGGACCUACGGAGGGAUCAUUA
rnacentral:rRNA from 1 species